GGUUACUGCUAUCGGAGUUCGACUAAGCCAUGCGAGUUGAGAGGGUUCGGCCCUCGGCGAACUGCUCAGUAACACGUGGAUAACCUGCCCUUGGGAUGGGAAUAACCCCGGGAAACUGGGGAUAAUGCCCGAUAUGUUACCUAUGCUGGAAUGCUUGGUAGCUUAAAGCUCCGGCGCCCAAGGAUGGGUCUGCGGCGGAUUAGGUUGUCGCCGGUGUAACGUACCGACGAGCCGAUAAUCCGUACGGGUUGUGAGAGCAAGAGCCCGGAGAUGGAUUCUGAGACACGAAUCCAGGCCCUACGGGGCGCAGCAGGCGCGUAAACUUUACAAUGCAGGAAACUGCGAUAAGGGAACUCCGAGUGUCUGGGACCUUCUCAGACUGUUCGGAUACCUAAAUAGUAUCUGAUAGUAAGGGCCGGGCAAGACCGGUGCCAGCCGCCGCGGUAACACCGGCGGCCCGAGUGGUAACCAAUAUUAUUGAGCUUAAAGCGCCCGUAGCCGGCUUGGCAAGUCCCUUGGGAAAUCUGACGGCUUAACUGUCAGGCGUCCAGGGGAUACUACUAGGCUUGGGACUGGGAGAGGUAGGAGGUACUUCAGGGGUAGGGGUGAAAUCCUGUAAUCCUUGGGGGACCACCGGUGGCGAAGGCGUCCUACCAGAACGGCUCCGACGGUGAGGGACGAAAGCUAGGGGCACGAACCGGAUUAGAUACCCGGGUAGUCCUAGCCGUAAACGAUGCGGGCUAGGUGUCACAGUAGCCAUGUGCUGCUGUGGUGCCGCAGGGAAACCGUGAAGCCUGCCGCUUGGGAAGUACGUCCGCAAGGAUGAAACU
rnacentral:rRNA from 1 species